rnacentral:rRNA from 1 species
GACGAACCGUGCGAACGUUGUUCGGAUUCACUGGGCUUAAAGGGCGCGUAGGCGGGCGAUCAAGUCAGGGGUGAAAUCUUUCGGCUCAACCGGAAGAGUGCCUUUGAUACUGGUCGCCUCGAGGGAGGUAGGGGCAUACGGAACUUCCGGUGGAGCGGUGAAAUGCGUAGAGAUCCGGAGGAAGACCGGUGGCGAAGGCGGCCUGCUGGGCAGUUACUGACACUGAGGCGCGACAGCGUGGGGAGCAAACAGG